UCCCUCUCAGGGUCAUGCCUGGAGAGUUUCCAGUACUCUCCCAGUCUUGAUUUCAGGAGGGAGAGUCAAGCAGAGGCCUACCCAUCCCAUUCCUAGCUUGGCCAGUGGCUUGUGAGUGGAAGGCAAUCUGCUACAAGU